GGAGAAUCCACAUUUGACCUGAGGACGGAGAUAUCUAUGAGCUGGAAUCCUAAGCUUUCGAUUCUACAGAUGGACGGAAAUACUUAGACACCCACAUUGUUUUUCCUCAUCAUUUCUCUCAUCGCCAUCUUGAUCUCUCUUAUAUUAUCCUUUUUUCCUAUUUGGGGUUCCGUUUUCUUGAAUUUUCAUGUGAAGCAGAGCAAUCGGUACAGCCAAUUUUUGUUUGAGGAAUUUACAAAUGGCGAAUACCACCAUUGCCGCUGGUCCUACAUUUUCAUUGCAACACCGCCAUCAAGUAUUUGGGAGGGUUGGAGUUAGUACUUUACGGCACCAACAAGGACAUACUCUGUUCUUUACGCAAGCAGUGCCUGCUAUAAGGAGGAAAUUUUGUCCAUCUAUAGGCAUAUAUCAGGAUAGGCAAUCGUUCUCUGAUGGAACCUUCAAUAGCGUUAUGUGUUCCAGCAGUGUUGAAGGUGCAGAUAAGGUUUCAACGGAUCAAUCUCGAGUAUUGAGGCUAGGUAACAGGGGCUGCAAACUAAUAGGAUGUGGCUCUGCAGUACCAUCUCUAAAUGUAUCCAAUGAUGAUCUUGCAAAAAUUGUU
rnacentral:misc_RNA from 1 species